AGUGAACGCUGGCGGUAGGCCUAACACAUGCAAGUCGAACGGCAGCACAGUAAGAGCUUGCUCUUACGGGUGGCGAGUGGCGGACGGGUGAGGAAUACAUCGGAAUCUACUUUUUCGUGGGGGAUAACGUAGGGAAACUUACGCUAAUACCGCAUACGACCUACGGGUGAAAGCAGGGGAUCUUCGGACCUUGCGCGAUUGAGUGAGCCGAUGUCGGAUUAGCUAGUUGGCGGGGUAAAGGCCCACCAAGGCGACGAUCCGUAGCUGGUCUGAGAGGAUGAUCAGCCACACUGGAACUGAGACACGGUCCAGACUCCUACGGGAGGCAGCAGUGGGGAAUAUUGGACAAUGGGCGCAAGCCUGAUCCAGCCAUACCGCGUGGGUGAAGAAGGCCUUCGGGCUGUAAAGCCCUUUUGUUGGGAAAGAAAAGCAGCAGGUUAAUACCCCGCUGUUCUGACGGUACCCAAAGAAUAAGCACCGGCUAACUUCGUG
rnacentral:rRNA from 1 species